rnacentral:rRNA from 1 species
UAGAGUUUGAUCCUGGCUCAGGACGAACGCUGGCGGCGUGCCUAAUACAUGCAAGUCGAGCGGACAGAUGGGAGCUUGCUCCCUGAUGUUAGCGGCGGACGGGUGAGUAACACGUGGGUAACCUGCCUGUAAGACUGGGAUAACUCCGGGAAACCGGGGCUAAUACCGGAUGCUUGUUUGAACCGCAUGGUUCAAACAUAAAAGGUGGCUUCGGCUACCACUUACAGAUGGACCCGCGGCGCAUUAGCUAGUUGGUGAGGUAACGGCUCACCAAGGCAACGAUGCGUAGCCGACCUGAGAGGGUGAUCGGCCACACUGGGACUGAGACACGGCCCAGACUCCUACGGGAGGCAGCAGUAGGGAAUCUUCCGCAAUGGACGAAAGUCUGACGGAGCAACGCCGCGUGAGUGAUGAAGGUUUUCGGAUCGUAAAGCUCUGUUGUUAGGGAAGAACAAGUACCGUUCGAAUAGGGCGGUACCUUGACGGUACCUAACCAGAAAGCCACGGCUAACUACGUGCCAGCAGCCGCGGUAAUACGUAGGUGGCAAGCGUUGUCCGGAAUUAUUGGGCGUAAAGGGCUCGCAGGCGGUUCCUUAAGUCUGAUGUGAAAGCCCCCGGCUCAACCGGGGAGGGUCAUUGGAAACUGGGGAACUUGAGUGCAGAAGAGGAGAGUGGAAUUCCACGUGUAGCGGUGAAAUGCGUAGAGAUGUGGAGGAACACCAGUGGCGAAGGCGACUCUCGGUCUGUAACGAC